GCCGCGGUAAUACGGGAGUGGCAAGCGUUAUCCGGAAUUAUUGGGCGUAAAGCGUCCGCAGGCGGCCCUUCAANUCUGCUGUUAAAAAGUGGAGCUUAACUCCAUCAUGGCAGUGGAAACUGAGGGGCUUGAGUGUGGUAGGGGCAGAGGGAAUUCCCGGUGUAGCGGUGAAAUGCGUAGAUAUCGGGAAGAACACCAGUGGCGAANGCGCUCUGCUGGGCCAUCACUGACGCUCAUGGACGAAANCCAGGGGAGCGAAAGGGAUUAGAUACCCCUGUAGUCCUGGCCGUAAACGAUGAACACUAGGUGUCGGGGGAAUCGACCCCCUCGGUGUCGUAGCCAACGCGUUAAGUGUUCCGCCUGGGGAGUACGCACGCAANUGUGAAA
rnacentral:rRNA from 1 species